AAAUAGCAUAAAAACAGUAAUAAAAUUAACAAACGAAUACAUCAUCCCUCUCACCUCUUUUUCUUUCUUAAUUCUUCGAAUAGCGAACUGUUUCUCAAACAGUUCCUUCGUCUCGCGUCUGCUCUCGGCUAACAAUUGGUCUCGCGAAAUUUCUCUUCCUUUGCCUUCCUCUUCCCUAUAAAUAUUCAAACGAUCAUAUACAUACAAUCACGUAUACAAAUACAAAUAAUCACAACCAACAAGCACGCGCAGUUAUUAUAGUCGCGCAGUCGCACGCUACUUACACAUCGUACUUCGGUAAAGCAAUACCGUCCAAACGGCUGGCGCAGCUGCUCUUUCGUCUGGUCUGUGCCAUCUCGAAUUGCGAAACCUUCGCUUGAACGGCGUCCUUGUUUUCGCAAACGUCGCAUCUGUUUUUGCACGGCGGCGGACUGUCGCCGAAAUAUUUCGAGAAGACCGCGUGUCUACAUCUGUUUUACACGGUUUCAUCGAUGAAGCGGAACGUCAAUUAUGUAUUUACGAUCGAAAUAAAUCAUGAUUUAUAAGUUUUAUGAGUCGCGAUUCUUACUUCACUUCGAGACAAUAGGAAACGGUUUUCUCGAAAUUUUUCCAUCUCAGUUUCACCAGGUCGGUGUUCUUCUGCGUGAUUUCCUCUUUGAUAAGAAACGCGAUCGGCCCGUAUUCUUCGUUACUGAAAUAAACUCUGCAGAACGCCGGUUUCCCAUCUCUGCCCGCUCUGCCAGAUUCUUGAUAGUACGCUGCUAUAUUCUGGGGGACUGUCCAAUGCACGACGAACCUACGACAGAAAUUACGAAACAGCUUUUAUAUUAUUUUUAUUUUAUGUCAUUGUUCUUGUUAUUAUUCUUGUUUUAUGUUAUUAUUUAUUUUAUAUUAUUAUUUAUUUACCUGACAGACCCUUUGUCUACGCCCAUGCCGAAACUGCAGGUUGCUGCGAUUACAGGCACUUCGCCGGAUGUCCAUUUAUUUUGAGCCUCGUUACGCUCCGAAUUCUUUAAACCUACAACCGUUUUAGAAUCACUUGUUUUGCUGGCAAGAUAUUAAUUACAAAAUUUCGAUUAUACUACCAAAUAGUACACAUAAGUAUAUAUAAGUAUAUAUGUAUAUAAGUAUAUAAAUAUACAUACCAGCAUGAUAUGCUAGAGUGGAUAUGCCAGAAUUAGACAGUUUAUGUGCAAUCACUUCGGUUGCUUCUUUCUUUCUACAAUAUAUAAUGCCACAAUUUCUCUUUACCUAAAAUCAUUCUUUCUGUAGAUUCAUAGAAAACACGUGUACGUAUACUGUUCGCCUGUCUAGCUUACUUUCGAAGUGGAUGGAUCCUGCGUACCGAGAGCCUUCAAAAUAAAACUUUUCAGGUGGUCGAACGGUUUGUCCAAGCUUUCCAAAAACCACACAUCGUAGUAGAGAUUAGGUCGAAACACAGGCACUGAGAAUAUCUGGGGAUUCUUCAUGUUCAAGCUUUGAAGUAUAUCAUCUUUCACCUGUAAUUAACACGUAUUACAGUGAACAAUAGUUAAGGUUAGCUCGGGGAAUUGUACCUCUUUUGCAGCAGUAGCUGUUAACGCGAUAAUAGGAAUAUUGGGGCACAAUUUUUUAAAUGUGCCCAACUGCCUGUAACUGGGUCUAAAAUCGUGACCCCAUUGACUUAAACAAUGAGCUUCAUCAAUGACAAAAUAGGCCAGUGAUUUAGAUUUUCUCAGUUUCACCACCAUAUCCUAUAAACAAUCAUCAAUAAUUAUUUGAACAUAUUCUUUGACUGUAUGGCUUUGUUUUUAAUACAGAAAGAUAGAAGAAACCGACUUGAAAGUGUUGCUGUGCUCCCAUUUCGGGUGUAACAUAUAACAAUUUAGUUUUCGGUGAAUUAGAUGAUAUAUCUUUAAUAAUUACAUUCCUUUCUUUGGUCGAUGUAGUUGAAUUUAAUGAGCUUGCAUUGAUCUUUUUACUAACUAGAAAAUCUAUCUGAUUCUGUAACAGAAAAUUCAUAUUACAUAACGCAUUCUGUGCUAUCAACCUCUUAUUUCAUUCAUUGUAUACCUUCAUAAGAGCCAACAGCGGCGAGAAAACAAUUGUUACUUUAUUCUCUUUCAUUACUGCUGGUAAUUGGAAACACAGUGAUUUACCACCACCGGUUGGCAUACACACAAAGACAUCGUCUUUACCUGAAAACAUAUGAUCGUUUAACCACAGAGAACUGCUUAACAUUUAAAUGUGUAACAUAAACAGAACAGAGAAUGUAUUUUAUAAUAAACAAAGAUUCAACCUUUGUAAACAGCAGUGGUUGCUCGUUUUUGAAUGUCGCUUUUGAAAUCAUCAUAGCCAAAUACAGAUUUCAGAACAGACUGUAACAUUUUGUCACGUAAUCGUGUAUGUUAAUUCCCUAUCAAAAUUCAACAUAAACAAUUACAAUUGCAUUCUAAAUUAAUCUACGAAAACGUUGUUCACAUCAACCCAGCUUUGUGCAGCAUCUACAACUAGCUUAGCGGAAUCAUGAAAACGUGCUAUGUAUUGAACUUAUGGUCUAAGGAACCGGUGGUGGGCUAGAACGUGUGUUGAGGGACUGGUAGAAAAUAUCAUAAAUGUAAUUGGAUGAUGCCAAUGGAUUCCAAAUGCAAUAGCCAAUGGCAGCACUCUCAGGUCUCAGUCUCAGCCUGUAGCAGCUGCGAGAGGCGUGGUCAAUAUUUUUGCUAUAGUAUACUGUUGGUGCUCUGGUGCUGCUCUCUGUCGUCAAAUUCCGAUUACAAUUUCGUUGCAUGCUACUCAUGCUUCUGCAUGAAAUUGCCGCUAUUUCAUCGCAUGGCCAGGACGCUUGUUUAGGGACCCUAUUGUAUCCAGUGUAUCCUUUUGUGCUUUGUAGUUUUAUUAUCUUUACAGCAUACAUUUAUACUGAUUUUCAUUAUGUAAGUAUUAUUCAAUAUAUAAAAAGAAUAAGUAAUAUAUACAAAAAUAUAAGUAUUUCUAUAAGAACUUAAAUAAUUGGUGAGCUGGUCAAAAACUAGAAUUAGAAAUGCCGACGUGUAUGGUAAAGGGGUGCAGAAAUAAAUCUUCUGACAAGACUCGUAGACAAAGAUUACUAGAGGAAGCAUUCAAUAUUACUUUCCAUUCGCUUCCAAAAGAUCCUGAAAGACGCCAAUUGUGGCUGCAUAAUUUGAUGCUCGAUAAUGUAAUCAUAGUUAAAAAAGUCGUUGUUUGUUCUGUUCAUUUCAAGGACAGUGAUUUUGAUAGAACCUCUCUGUCAUGCGUAAGACUCAAACCACAUGCUGUACCUUAUAUAGAGGUUCCAGAAGAAGAAGAUGAAGAAGAAGAAGAAGAACUGUAAGAACUGAAUGAGAAUGUUUAUAAACAAAUGACAAAUCAGUUCAAGUGGAAGCAUCUCCACAUAUAAACAAAAAGUGAAAAAAAGAAUGUUUCACUACAAGAUUCCACAAAGAUUUGUCAUUGACUAGACAACGCCAUGCUUCUGGUGUCAAAUACCGAACAGUCUCCUUUCAGCGGUGACUUGGCGUCAAAUUUGCAUAAAUUUCCUUGCAAAGUACACUACCAAGCAUUUUACAUGUACUUGGUUGAAGCAGACUUGGCCGACUGGGUACAUACAAAAACAUGUAUUUGUAGCUAAUGAUGCAGACGUCACAAUUCAACUGUUAAUAUAGUAUUAUUGUCCCAUUCCCCCCCUCACCCGCCUACAAAGCAUUACAUUUCCCUUCAACCAUUUGCAAGAUGUGAUUUUACUGCAGCGAAUUAUUUAAAAAUACGUUUGAUCAAGUCCACACACAUAGUGUGGUAUUUAUAUACGAGUUAUAAGAGUGGUAUUUUUACGUAUAAGUUUUUAUUUAAUAGUUUUAUUUAUAUAUAGAAAAGUUUUUAUUUAUAUAUAGAAAAUAUCAGCGUUAGUGAAAGCUGGAAAGUGUGAUGUUGAAUAUGAGAAGACGUCUGGAGAUUAUUUAGUAUUAACCCUGCUGGAAUUUACAAUCCAAAAUUAAAAGUAAAUACAGAUCUUCGUGCGACAAUAAAACAAUGUUUUCGAAGAAGAAUUCCGGAUGGAAACAUUUUCUAUAAAAAGUUUAGAUGAAUAAGUUAAUGUAUCUAAAUUAUCAAAAGGUCGACCAAAAAAAUCAAGAGUUCGAAUAAAUCAAUAAGGCGAGAAAGAAGUGAAAUAAAUCAGAAUUUAUCCCUUUUAGAAAUAGAUACAUGAGAAACCUUUAUUCAUAAUUAUAAAAAAAAAUUCACGAUUAUAAGGAAGCAAAAAUUUUUGAAGGAUAUUCAAGAGCAGUUGCCAAACGAGAUUUUGAAUAUUAAAUGUCAGCUGUGUAACCCUAACGUAUAAGUUAAUGUAAUUCGGUGUUACUUAAUGUGAAUAAUAACGUACUAUUACUAUUUAUGACUGCUGAAAUACCGAAUGCAGUAAAAUCUCCCCCUAACUGAUACUCAGAUUGUGCAUAAAAUGGACAAUUUUGAAAAUUGUCUAUUUUCAUCAAUUAAGCAGUAUUUAUUGUAUUCCUAUUGCAUGGCAAUUGUAGAAUAUUAAAGAGACUGUAUUGUCAAUAAAAAGUUUUUUCUGCUGUCCUAAAAUUUA